rnacentral:rRNA from 1 species
GGUAGGAAGUAUUGCUUGGUGACUGUGGAUGACUACUCAAGGUACACGUGGGUGUAUUUCUUCAAGAGGAAGAGCGAGACCCAACAAACCAUCAUUGACUUUGCAAAUGAAGCACAACGUCAACACGAUGCAAAGAUCUUGACAAUAAGAAGUGACAACGGCACCGAGUUCAAGAACUACACCUUGGAUGAGUUUCUUAGUGACGAGGGAAUCAAGCAUCAAUAUUCCGCACCCUACACCCCUCAACAAAACGGUGUUGCGGAGAGGAAGAACCGGACGUUGAUGGAUGCGGCAAGGACCAUGAUGGCGGAGUUCAAGUCUCCGUACAAUUUUUGGGCCGAAGCCAACAACACCACGUGUCAUGCAUCAAAUCGGCUCUACCUCCGCAAGGGCUUGAACAAGACUCCAUAUGAGAUACUCACCGGUAACAAGCCCAACCUCAAGUACUUCCGGGUAUUCGGGUGUAAGUGUUUCAUUCUCAAGAAAGGUGUUCGGUUGUCUGUAGGAUCUAGAAGUAGAUGUGUCUAG